rnacentral:rRNA from 1 species
GACGAACGCUGGCGGCGUGCUUAACACAUGCAAGUCGAACGGAAAGGCCCUGCUUUUGUGGGGUGCUCGAGUGGCGAACGGGUGAGUAACACGUGAGUAACCUGCCCUUGACUUUGGGAUAACUUCAGGAAACUGGGGCUAAUACCGGAUAGGAGCUCCUGCUGCAUGGUGGGGGUUGGAAAGUUUCGGCGGUUGGGGAUGGACUCGCGGCUUAUCAGCUUGUUGGUGGGGUAGUGGCUUACCAAGGCUUUGACGGGUAGCCGGCCUGGGAGGGUGACCGGCCACAUUGGGCCUGAGAUACGGCCCAGACUCCUACGGGAGGCAGCAGUGGGGAAUAUUGCACAAUGGGCGGAAGCCUGAUGCAGCAACGCCGCGUGCGGGAUGACGGCCUUCGGGUUGUAAACCGCUUUCGCAUGUGACGAAGCGUGAGUGACGGUAAUGGGUAAAGAAGCACCGGCUAACUACGUG